GCAUCUUCACCAAUCUUUAUGGGUUGCAUGACCCAUUUCUUAAAGGUGCCAUGAAAAGGGGCGACUGGUACAGGACCAAAGACAUAGUACUCAAGGGUUCUGAUUGGAUUGUAAAUGAAAUGAAGAAAUCUGGUCUCCGUGGACGUGGUGGUGCCGGUUUUCCAUCUGGCCUCAAAUGGUCCUUCAUGCCAAAAGUAUCUGAUGGCCGUCCUUCCUAUCUUGUUGUCAAUGCUGAUGAAAGUGAACCUGGAACAUGUAAAGACAGAGAAAUAAUGCGGCAUGAUCCACACAAACUAUUAGAGGGCUGCUUGAUUGCUGGGGUUGGAAUGAGGGCUACUACCGCUUACAUCUACAUAAGGGGUGAAUAUGUGAAUGAACGUAAAAACCUUGAAAGGGCCAGGAAAGAAGCUUAUGAAGCUGGAUUACUGGGCAAGAAUGCAUGUGGAUCUGGUUAUGAUUUUGAUGUCCAUAUCCAUUAUGGUGCUGGUGCUUAUAUUUGUGGUGAGGAAACAGCACUUUUGGAGAGUCUUGAAGGGAAACAAGGGAAGCCGAGAUUGAAGCCUCCCUUCCCAGCUAAUGCAGGAUUAUAUGGUUGUCCCACCACUGUUACAAAUGUGGAAACUGUGGCUGUUUCACCCACCAUCUUAAGGCGUGGACCAGAGUGGUUUGCUGGUUUUGGAAGGAAGAACAAUGCUGGGACAAAAUUGUAUUGUGUUUCAGGUCAUGUGAACAAACCUUGCACUGUUGAAGAGGAGAUGAGUAUACCAUUAAAGGAACUGAUAGAGAGGCACUGUGGAGGUGUUAGAGGUGGAUGGGACAAUUUACUUGCAGUAAUACCUGGGGGUUCAUCCGUUCCUCUCCUUCCCAAGCACAUAUGUGAUGAUGUCCUGAUGGAUUAUGAUGCACUCAAGGCUGUCCAGUCGGGGUUGGGGACUGCAGCUGUGAUCGUGAUGGAUAAGUCUACUGAUGUCGUGGAUGCAAUUGCAAGGCUGUCUUACUUUUACAAGCAUGAGAGCUGUGGACAGUGUACACCAUGCAGGGAGGGAACAGGUUGGCUAUUGAUGAUGAUGGAAAGAUUGAAAGUUGGGAAUGCAAACUUGGAGGAGAUUGACAUGCUUCAGGAAGUGACAAAGCAGAUUGAAGGGCACACAAUCUGUGCAUUGGGUGAUGCAGCUGCUUGGCCUGUUCAGGGUCUUAUCAGGCAUUUUAGACCAGAACUUGAGAGAAGGAUCAGGGAGCGUGCGGAGAGGGAGUUGCUGGAAGUGGCCGCUGCUUAAGUAUUUUAUGCAGGUUCGUUCUUGUAUUUUUCCAGCAUCUUAUUUACUAGGUUUUUCCACAUAAGUUUAAUUAUUCUUAAUUUGUGUGGUUUGAUUUUAUUACUUGUAAUGAAGUUGAGAUCUGUGGGGUUCUGUUUUAUAAUGUGUUGCAAAUGCAAGGGUGGGUCUCACUGUUUGGCUGACCUGAUCUAUGGGUGUACGCCAAAAGUGGGUCCAAGUGGGAAUAGUCCAUCUAUUGUUCUUUUGUUCUCAUCUAGACUGUUAGAGAAAAUAAAGUAGAUGUUGCAAGAAGUUUGCAAACAUUCUCAGGUGGACGGUUGAGGCUCUGUUGGUUUGCUAAACCUAGUUGUCAUGUUCCAAAAAGAAAUGUCUUCUUUGGAGGGAACACUUAGGCUGCGACUUCAGGCAUUUAAUCUCAUGGAAUUUUUUUUCUUUCUAACACGGUGUUAGUCGAAUGCUGUUGUUGACUUUCUUGUGGGAUACCAAACUGGAUUUAUCUAUUUAUUAGGGAAAAAAGAAUGAAAUUCGGGAAUUGUUUGUCUCAUGUGGUGGUGUUUUCCUAGUAAGGAUGAAAACAAAGAUCAAUGCAGUUUUUUUUUUUUUUUCGUGUAAUCAUGUGGGAGUAAUAGGAUAACGCAAUAAUGACUAUUGAGGCAUUGCCUCUGCAUGUGUCCAACCACUUCCAUGACAAUUGUGAAAUGAAACUUAUGUCAUGACUGUUGUUUAAGAUAUCGUAGUAGCUAUGUCACAAAGAUGCUGAUUCUUACAUUAGGUGUCUGAAAAUAGAACCUCAAUGAUUUUGAAAUUUUAUGGAAUAUGCCCAGUGGGCCCCCCAUAUUGAUACUAUAGAGAUUAAUAAAAAGUUAAGUGUCCUAAUCUAGGUGGAGAAAUUGCCUUGAGCUGGGAUGCAAGGUCAUGGAGCUUCAAUCUACUUGGGGCUUCCCAUGGGGGCUUCCUUUAGAGAAGAGUCAGUUUGGAACAACAUGGAAGAGAGGUUCCACUAAAGACUGUCUAUGUGGAAAAAACAAUAUAUUUCGAAAGAGGGGAGGCUUACUCUGAUGCAAAACACCUUAUCUAGUAUGUCCAUCUAUUUUAUAUCUUCGUUCAACAUUCCUAAAAGGGUUAGAUUGAGGCUUGAGAAAGGACUUCUUAUGGGGAGACGAGGCUUUGGAAAAAAAGAUGCAUUUAGUGAAAUGAUUGAUCGUUUGCAUUGAGAAGACUCAAAGAGUGAGGGAGCUUGGGCAUUUGAUGCUUUUCUUUGCUCAAUAGGCACUCAUUGGAAAGUGGAGUUGGAGAUAUGCUUUUGAAGAAGAAGCAUUUUGGAAACAAUUUAUAUUGGGGAAGUAUAGAGAAGAAGGGGGUUCAAGUUCUUGCAAGGUGAGAGAAGGGUAUAGGGUUGGGUUUUGGAAAGCUAUCAAAAAGGGAUGAUACCUUUUCAGCAAUAGAGCAUCCUUUGAAGUGGAUGAUGGGAGGAGGUUGAAGUUUUGGAAGAAUAGGUGGUGUGGGGAUGAACCCUUAUGUGCGUCUUUUGCUCUUUGUACACCUUAGUAUCGUCAAAAGAGGCUUGGGUGGCUGAUGUUUGGGACAAUCUAGGUGAGGGGGGGCAUUAAUCCUUGUUUCUCUAGGCACUUGAAUGAUUUGGAGCUAGACAAUGUAGUUUUCUCAAGAUUGCAAGGAAGGACCAUUAAAAGGGAAGAGAAGGAUAGGGUGUUUUGGAUAGGCUCAAAGAAUGGUGUUCCUUUUAAUCAAAUCUUUAUAAUUUGUCUUGGAGUUAGGGUGUUCAAUUCCUAUCCCAAUGGGUAUCAUUUGGAAUUCAUGGAUCCUGUUAAGUGAGUUUUUUUCUUUUUUUUUUUCUUUUUUUUUUUUGCUUGGAAAUUGGUUGGGGAAAGGUGUUGACUUUAGAUCAGUUUGAAAAGAGAGGGUGGGGGAUGGUGAAUAUGUGAAGAGGAAUCAAUUAAUCACAUCCUGCUUCAUAGUGCCAAAGUAAGAGUACUAUAACAGCUGCUUUUCUCUUUAUUCAGUGCUGUUUGGGAAUCUUCUCUUUUAAGUUGGAAUGUUUCUUUUGUGGACAGAAAAUGUAAGGAGGUUUGGAGAGUUGCUCUUUUAUGCAUGUUUUGGACAAUUUGGAAGGAAAGAAAUCAUUUUGGACAAUUUGCAAGGAAAUAAAUCAUUUUUUUCUGAAAGAAAUCAUAGAGCAUUAAAAAAUGAGUAGUUAGUUCGAGUGCAGUGUUAUGGGUUAGCAUUUACACAGAAAAAGGUUCAAUAUCUUUAAUUUAUUUUGUAUAUUGUGUGUAUUUUUAUAUUCUUACUUUUUCUGGUAAAGCCUUUUGAUACCCAUUGUAGACGCUCUAUGUACAUUGGUGUAUAUUUUCUUUGUUGUUAUCUAUACAAUCUUUUCUCUUACUAAUUAAAAAUAAAAUAAAAUAAAAUCUAAGUGUUGCCACUAUCACAAAAUUUUUUGAGCUCAUCUCCACAAUUAAUUUUUUGCAUUUAAUGUUGGAAUUGUUUUCCAUUCAUCUUAUCUAUGCAGGGAAACACCGGAACUGGUGGGUAAUGUGGAAUAAAAUGAAGAACAACAAAUGUUAGGAGCGGAAGGCAACUCCAGGCAUCUGGCUGUCGAAUUGGUAUUUCGUUUAUUUCCUCCCCUGUAUAACCUCUGUGACUCACUCUUGGAGUGAUUAGCACUACUCCAUAAUGUUGCAAAUCG
rnacentral:lncRNA from 1 species